UUUGGCACCCUCUGUCCUCCCUUCACUCUCCCUCCUAAGUGGAACUCAUCAUACAAAAUAGUGUCAAUACAAACUAACUAGUUUAAAUGGAAGAAAUACUUAUCUGCUAAUUCCUCCCAGCUGAUUCUGCUUCUCUAAGGUGGGGCAUGGAGCUGCCAUCUUGGUUCCCACUGGUAGUGGUGAUUCAGUUUCAUGGCCAAACCUGGGCCAGCCUGGACCUCAGAUCCAAGGACAUCCCAUCGCAUUGGUGCUAAAUCCAACCCCCUUUAGGCUUGAUUUUCUUCUCCCCUUUCUGCUAUCCCUCUCUUUUUUUCUUUCCUUACCUUCUAAUUUACUCUUCCUUUUUCCUCAGUCUUUCUCUUUCUUCCUCUCCUUACAAGCUCCUUCUCUCUCCCAUCUUUCUCUUUGCUUCUCUUCCUCUCUCCAUAGCUUUUUUUCCUCAUUGCCCUCUCUUCUUUCUCCUCUUUCUUUAUCAACUUCCUUCCUUCCCCCCUUCCCCAUUCCCAGAAGAAUCUGUUUCCAUCUCUCUUUUUCUCUUUAGUGGGAUUCUCCCCACUUGCCCUCCCCAGGGAUGCCUGGGCCUGAGAAAUGAUGACUUCUGCUCUGCUGCCAUUACCCCUGCCAUGUGGCUCGAUCCAGCCGGUGUUAGUAUUAAAAGUGCAAAUGCUGAAAAGUCAACAGGAUAUAGCAAGCAGCCAAGCCUCCCAACUUAUUCCUACACACCCGAGCUAGGAAAUCAUUACCACAGUAACAAGGACUGGACUUCUCAUUUACUGGCUUCUGCGGGGUCUGUGUCUCAUUCAAGCAGAAGCCUAAUGAACACAGCCUGGCUCCCUCCCAGCAGUGACUCAGCGGCCUCAAUAAUGAGACUGCCUGGCUCCUCUUAAGAAUCUGUAAGAGUUUUAGUCCAAUCACCUCUGCCUGUUCAGGUCUGAAUCUUUGGCGAACCAGAAUAAACAAAAGAACUCUCUGGCCUCUGAACCACUUCUCUGAACUGCCUCCCCUCUUCCCUGGUUUCAAGGACCGCAUGCAGACUUUCUAAAUCAAUUGGAGUUCUAGGAGUUAAAGAGGGAGAAAUCAAGAAGACAUCAUGGAAGAGGGGGAGAACAGGUAGGAUUCUGAUAGAUGGAGAUUCUUGGUGGAGCCUGUAUGGAGU